UACGUAGGGGGCUAGCGUUGUCCGGAAUCAUUGGGCGUAAAGCGCGUGUAGGCGGCCCGGUAAGUCCGCUGUGAAAGUCAAAGGCUCAACCUUUGAAUGUCAGCGGAUACUGCCGGGCUAGAGUCCGGAAGAGGCGAGUGGAAUUCCUGGUGUAGCGGUGGAAUGCGCAGAUAUCAGGAGGAACACCGGUGGCGAAGGCGGGAUCCUGGGCCAGUACUGACGCUGAGGAGCGAAAGCGUGGGGAGCAAACAGGG
rnacentral:rRNA from 1 species